GCCAGGCAUGGUGGUGGGUACCUGUAGUCCCAGCUACUUGGGAGACUGAGGCAGGAGAAUGGUGUGAACCUGGGAGGCAGAGCUUGCAGUGAGCAGAGAUCGAGCCACUGCACUCCAGACUGGGCGACAGAGUCUUGCUCUGUCGCCCAGGCUGGAGUGCAGUGGCCAGAUCUCAGCUCACUGCAAGCUCUGCCUCCCGGGUUUAAGCCAUUCUCCUGCCUCAG
rnacentral:SRP_RNA from 1 species